ensembl:snoRNA SNORA72 Small nucleolar RNA SNORA72
CUGAAAAACAACACAAACAUUUGCUGUAGUAAGACCAUGCAUGUGUCCCCAGACCUAGAUCUUUUCCUAGGUCUGGUUUUACAAAUGCUGGUGAUAAAC